rnacentral:rRNA from 1 species
UACGAAGGGGGCUAGCGUUGCUCGGAAUCACUGGGCGUAAAGGGUGCGUAGGCGGGUCUUUAAGUCAGGGGUGAAAUCCUGGAGCUCAACUCCAGAACUGCCUUUGAUACUGAGGAUCUUGAGUUCGGGAGAGGUGAGUGGAACUGCGAGUGUAGAGGUGAAAUUCGUAGAUAUUCGCAAGAACACCAGUGGCGAAGGCGGCUCACUGGCCCGAUACUGACGCUGAGGCACGAAAGCCAGGGGAGCGAACGGG